AUGGCGCUCUCCAAGCACACCCUCGCCAUGUUCUUUGCCCUGCUGGCCAUCGCAGCGACGCUGCAGCCGUCCGAUGCGAGGCUCCGGUCCGCCGCCGCAAACCAAGAAGAAGUCAAAGCCACCACCACGGCCGAUGGAGACGCCCCGUCUCUUCCGAACCUGCCAUUGCCUCAGAUUCCCGGCGUGCCUAGCCUACCACCGCUAUUCCGCUUCCUUUUCCCGCCACUCCCAGGUGCUCCUCCGUCUCAAAUACCUCAGAUCCCCGGCAUGCCUAGCCUACCACCAAUAUUCCGCUCUCUCUUCCCGCCACUGCCCCAGAUCCCUGCCUUGCCGCCGCUGUUCGGCCCACUCCCUGUUGCACCGCCGGCUCAAGGAUUGCCUCAGACCCCCGGCAUGCCACACUUCCCACCAAGCACCGGAUCGCCUUCACCACCGCCACCAAAGGAGUGCCUGACACCGCUGACGGCCAUGAUACCGUGCAUGGACUACCUCAGCAACAUCACGGUGUUCUCGCCGCCGGGCUCAUGCUGUGAUGGCCUCAAGUCGGUUGUCAAUACCGCACCGAUCUGUCUGUGCCACGGCAUGAACAACAAUGGCGGCAUGAGCAAGCUCUUCCCCAAGCCCAUCGAUCCGAUCCGCAUGCUCAUCCUCCCGGCUAGGUGUGGCGCCAUGAUACCCAUCCAGACGAUCUUCUCUUGCGCCACCCAACCAUUGCCACCGUUGACGCCUCCUGCCACGUCUCCAGCGCCUGCUGCUUCUCCCGCGCCAUCACCAUAG
rnacentral:rRNA from 1 species